UACGUAGGUGGCAAGCGUUGUCCGGAAUUGUUGGGCGUAAAGCGCGCGCAGGCGGUCCUUUAAGUCUGAUGUGAAAGCCCACGGCUCAACCGUGGAGGGUCAUUGGAAACUGGGGGACUUGAGUGAGACAGAGGAGAGUGGAAUUUCGUGUGUAGGGGUGAAAUCCGUAGAUCUACGAAGGAACGCCAAAAGCGAAGGCAGCUCUCUGGGUCCCUACCGACGCUGGGGUGCGAAAGCAUGGGGAGCGAACAGG
rnacentral:rRNA from 1 species